AUGUCGCUCAAAGGCUACCACGAAGCCUCACUGCAUCCGCCGGCUGCGUAUGAUGCGGCGGCGGCGGCGACUGUGUGGGACUGGGGGGAAGCCCUCCUCGACAAGUUCGCCUACAUGGUCCACAAGAAAGACCACCAAAAAAACCAUACUUCCGCCCGCUGUACAUUCAAGAGGAAUUUGCACGACGACAGGGUGGUGGAGGUGGAGAUGCAGGUCAGCCUGUUCUUGGCGCCGCCGCCUCGCGUCUCCUACUUCUGCUGCUCCGCCAACCUCACCGAAGACGACCACGGGGAACAACAAGGCACCCGCCGCCUGUUCGUCUGCGAGCCUUGGGUGAUCGCCACGGAGGGUAACCUUGCCCUCCUCGCCCUCUGCCACGGCUACAACCCUGCCUACUACGGCGAAAGCAAUAACUACGACUACUUCCUCUACGAGGCAGCAGCCUCACCGGCGGGGACGCCGAAACUCACCUGCCUCCCUCAAAUCCAACCCGAGAUGUUGCCAGCUAUGGGAACUCACUGCUUCUCUACCGGCAGUAUUGCUGUCGUGCGUUACAGCAGCAACAUCCCCACCGCCGCCCACAAAAUCCCCUUGACGCCCCCCACCCCCAUCCUCAGCCCCGUCGUCGCCCUUCCCCGCCCCCAAAGUAUCCCNNNNNNNNNNNNNNNNNNNNNNNUCAACCCCUCCGUCACCGCAUAUUCUCAAGCCCGCCCCAAGGAUGAUGCCUGUGAUGCCUACAGGAUCGCGGCGCUCGCCUACGACUACUUCCACCCCAGCCAUUCCGGAUACUACCUCUGCACCUACGACUCCAAGGACCCUCGGUGGAGACGCACGCCCGCUGCCUCUCCAGAGUCACCACCGCCUGAUGACUUUGUGCCCGGCAAGGUCAUCACCAUCGACAGCUCCAUGUCCAGCUCCGGCUCCCCCCGUGGCAUCAUGGGCUGGGUCGACCUCUGGAGUGGCAUGCUACUCUCCGACGUGCUCACUGCCUCCGACACCCUCUGCACCCCGCUCCGCUAUCUCCCCCUUCCAGAGCCGAGGCAGCCGGAAAAUUGCCUCCCUCUUGCCACAGACAUUGCAUACUUCUUUCGGGACAUCGCCCUAGCCAAUGACUCCGGCAUCAUCAGGUUUGUUGACCUUCAGGUCCACGCAGAACCCAGCCCGCGCUCGCAAACGCCUAGCGGCUGGACGGUGGUCACGUGGACCUUGGAGGGGCGGGCUUAG
rnacentral:rRNA from 1 species